rnacentral:rRNA from 1 species
CCUACGGGUGGCAGCAGUGAGGAAUAUUGGUCAAUGGACGAGAGUCUGAACCAGCCAAGUAGCGUGAAGGAUGACUGCCCUAUGGGUUGUAAACUUCUUUUAUAUGGGAAUAAACUGUUCCACGUGUGGGAUUUUGUAUGUACUAUAUGAAUAAGGAUCGGCUAACUCCGUGCCAGCAGCCGCGGUAAUACGGAGGAUCCGAGCGUUAUCCGGAUUUAUUGGGUUUAAAGGGAGCGUAGGUGGAUUGUUAAGUCAGUUGUGAAAGUUUGCGGCUCAACGGUAAAAUUGCAGUUGAUACUGGCAGUCUUGAGUACAGUAGAGGUGGGCGGAAUGCGUGGUGUAGCGGUGAAAUGCUUAGAUAUCACGAAGAACACCGAUUGCGAAGGCAGCUCACUGGACUGCAACUGACACUGAGGCUCGAAAGUGUGGGUAGCAAACAGGAUUAGAUACCCGAGUAGUC